rnacentral:rRNA from 1 species
GAUGAACGCUAGCGGGAGGCCUAACACAUGCAAGCCGAGCGGUAUUGUUUCUUCGGAUUUGGGAGAGCGGCGUACGGGUGCGUAACACGUGUGCAACCUGCCUUUAUCUGGGGGAUAGCCUUUCGAAAGGAAGAUUAAUACUCCAUAAUAUAUUUAACGGCCUCGUUUAAUAUUGAAAGCUUCGGCGGAUAGAGAUGGGUCCGCGCAAGAUUAGCUAGUUGGUGAGGUAACGGCUCACCAAGGUGAUGAUCGUGAGGGGGCCUGAGAGGGUGAUCCCCCACACUGGUACGGAGACACGGACCAGACUCCUACGGGAGGCAGCAGUGGGGAAUAUUGGUCAAUGGGUGCAAGCCUGAACCAGCCAUCCCGCGUGAAGGACGACUGCCCUAUGGGUUGUAAACUUCUUUUGGAGAGGGAUAAACCUACCCUCGAGAGGGUAGCUGAAGGUACUAUACGAAUAAGCACCGGCUAACUCCGUG